AGUGAACGCUGGCGGUAGGCCUAACACAUGCCAGUCGAACGGCAGCACAGUAAGAGCUUGCUCCUACGGGUGGCGAGUGGCGGACGGGUGAGGAAUACAUCGGAAUCUACUUUUUCGUGGGGGAUAACGUAGGGAAACUUACGCUAAUACCGCAUACGACCUACGGGUGAAAGCAGGGGAUCUUCGGACCUUGCGCGAUUGAAUGAGCCGAUGUCGGAUUAGCUAGUUGGCGGGGUAAAGGCCCACCAAGGCGACGAUCCGUAGCUGGUCUGAGAGGAUGAUCAGCCACACUGGAACUGAGACACGGUCCAGACUCCUACGGGAGGCAGCAGUGGGGAAUAUUGGACAAUGGGCGCAAGCCUGAUCCAGCCAUACCGCGUGGGUGAAGAAGGCCUUCGGGUUGUAAAGCCCUUUUGUUGGGAAAGAAAAGCAGCAGGUUAAUACCCCGCUGUUCUGACGGUACCCAAAGAAUAAGCACCGGCUAACUUCGUG
rnacentral:rRNA from 1 species